AACGAACGCUGGCGGCAGGCCUAACACAUGCAAGUCGAACGCUCCGCAAGGGGAGUGGCAGACGGGUGAGUAACGCGUGGGAACAUGCCCUUCGGUCCGGAAUAACUCAGGGAAACUUGAGCUAAUACCGGAUACGCCCCGAACCAAAUUUAGGGGUAAGGAAUUCAUCGCCGGAGGAUUGGCCCGCGUCCGAUUAGCUAGUCGGUGAGGUAAUGCUCACCGAGGCGACGAUCGGUAGCUGGCUGAGAGGAUGAUCAGCCACCAUUGGGAC
rnacentral:rRNA from 1 species